CAGCCGCCACGGUAAUACGUAGGGUGCGAGCGUUAAUCGGAAUUACUGGGCGUAAAGCGUGCGCAGGCGGUUCGUUAAGACAGAUGUGAAAUCCCCGGGCUUAACCUGGGAACUGCAUUUGUGACUGGCGAGCUAGAGUAUGGCAGAGGGGGGUAGAAUUCCACGUGUAGCAGUGAAAUGCGUAGAGAUGUGGAGGAAUACCGAUGGCGAAGGCAGCCCCCUGGGCCAAUACUGACGCUCAUGCACGAAAGCGUGGGGAGCAAACAGGAUUAGAUACCCGUGUAGUCCCUGUCUCUUAUAC
rnacentral:rRNA from 1 species